GAUCUUCCACAUGGACGCAGUCUGAUGGAGCAACGCCGCGUGAGUGAAGAAGGGUUUCGGCUCGUAAAGCUCUGUUGUUAAAGAAGAACGUGGGUAAGAGUAACUGUUUACCCAGUGACGGUAUUUAACCAGAAAGCCACGGCUAACUACGUGCCAGCAGCCGCGGUAAUA
rnacentral:rRNA from 1 species